rnacentral:rRNA from 1 species
AACGAACGCUGGCGGCAUGCCUAACACAUGCAAGUCGAACGAGACCUUCGGGUCUAGUGGCGCACGUGUGCGUAACGCGUGGGAACCUGCCCUUAGGUUCGGAAUACCUCCCCGAAAGGUGUGCUCAUACCGGUUAAUGUCUUCCGACCAAAGAUUUAUCGCCUUUGGAUGGGCCCGCGUUAGAUUCGCGAGUUGGUAGGGUAAAAGCCUGCCAACGCGUCGUUCCAUAGCUGGUCUGAGAGGAUGAUCAGCCACACUGGGACUGAGACACGGCCCAGACUGCGACGGAGGGGAGCAGAGGAGAAUACUGGGCGAGGGGGGAAAAUGUGGCACAGCAACGCCGGGUGAGAGAGGAAGGGGGUAGGGUUGUAAAGCUGUUUUAGCCGGGAUGAUAAUGACAGUACCGGGUGAAUAAGCACCGGCUAACUCCGUG